AGGCUUGUAGCUCAGGUGCUUAGAGCGCACCCCUGAUAAGGGUGAGGUCGGUGGUUCAAGUCCACUCAGGCCU
rnacentral:tRNA from 1 species